AUUGAACGCUGGCGGCAGGCUUAACACAUGCAAGUCGAACGAGUGGUGGACGGGUGAGUAAUGCUUGGGAAUCUUGCUUAUGGAGGGGGAUAACUACGGGCAACUGUAGCUAAUAACGCGUACCAUAGGAUGAGCCCAAGGGGGAAUAGGUAGGUGGUGAGGUAAAGGCUCACCAGGCGGACGAUCGCUAGCUGGUCUGAGAGGAUGACCGGCCACACUGGGACGGAGACACGGCCCAGACUCCUACGGGAGGCAGCAGUGGGGAAUAUUGCACAAUGGGGGCAAGCCUGAUGCAGCCAUGCGGCGUGUGUGAAGAGGGCCUUCGGUUUGUAAAGCACUUUCAGCGAGGAGGCGUUACUCGCAGAAGAAGCACCGGCUAACUCCGUGCCAGCAGCCGCGGUAAUAC
rnacentral:rRNA from 1 species